UUUGGGGGACGUUUCUCCCAAACUUGGGCGCUAAAAAAAGUCUUCGUCCUCUGUCUUCGUCGUGUUUCCUUUUCUGGCUGAGUUUGCCUUCUUAAACCAACCCGAAAUUCUCGCCCCAUACAAAUAUUCAAAUCUUCCAUUUCUUCCCUUCACAAAUUUCCAUGUAGGGUUUCACAUUAACCUUAAUCAAAACUUAUACGUACAUAUAUAUACAUAUAUAUUUAUAUAUAAUCUCUCUCUCUCUCUCUCUCUCUCUCUCUCUCUCUCUCUCACUCUGUUUCUGAAUUUUGAUUUCCCGGGAAAGUUUCCAACCCGAUCGUUUCUUCGAAAGUCUCCGAAAGCUUUUCGUCAAAACAAAAGUAAAAAAUAUCUGUGAUAUAAAAAUGGAAAUAAUUUUUAAAACACGCAUGGAAUUGGCUGGUUCAUUUGCCUGAAAGUUGGUUAAGAUAGAGAGAGAUGGAGGGAGGGGAGAGAGAGAUGGACGAAGAAAUGGUGGAGUUCGCGAGGGAGGCUUUUGAGGGGGAUGAAAUUGACAUGGACUACGAAUUCGAUGCGCCCAAGUUCUACGACUUCACUAGGCCGGAAUCCGAUUGGGAGGCCGAGGAGGCGGAGGAAUGGUUCCGGUCAGCCGGAGGCUAUCAGCCCUCGCCUUUCCUUGAAAAAUUGUUGAAUUGGCAAAAAGAGAAUCAUCCGGAACCUGUAAAAACCUUCGUGGAAUCGAAAGAUGUUGAAGUUACUAGAUGCAGUAACCCGAAUAAUUGCUUGGAAGCGGAGGUCUCUGCAGCGGUAGACGAUAAUGACAAAAAGUUUUCUAAUCACAUGGCUCAAGACACUCCAAAAGCUAAACUGAAGUCCCCGGGCAAGUCACCACAUCUCUCAAGGAGUUCAACGUUAAUGAAACCCACGGCGAGUCAGUUGGCCAAGCAAAAUCACCACCGAGCGGUUCACUCCAAUCGAUUAUUAAGGAGAGUCGCGAAAAAGCUCGGGAAACUUGAUGAGAAAUCACAGAAUUCUCCGCCACCUACGAAAAGGCAGAAGUUGGAGGCUGGCUAUGUACGCAAGGUUGCUGAACAACUCAAGCAUCAACCUCUCUGGUUACAUAAGGCGGCAAAAAAGGUCGGAGCUGAUGCUGCUAGACCUAAAGUUACAGUUCCGAAAGAACCAAAUCUUGAAACAGCAAAUCGAGCACGAAGACGUAGGUACAAGGUUAACACCAAACCAGGAGAACAAUCAAAAAUUCAUAGGGCUCCUCCAUGGCCUAGCCCGAAAAAGAGCACAAUUCCAGCAACAGAGUUUCAGGUGUUCCGCCUUCGGACAUCAGCGCGAGCUAUGCAACAGACAUUUAAUCACCAGGUAACAAAUGGACCCGACUCUAGUUAUUUAUCAGAAAAUGAAGCUACAGAGAUCAAAGGGCCAAACUCUGUGUAUGCCUUAAAGCAAGAGAAAGGUCAAAUGAUAUAUAAGUGCGUAGCUUGCUCUCUUAAAAAUAAGUUGUAUGCAGGAAUUGAAGUUUGCAAUCGACAAGAGAUGCCUAAAGGAGCCACCAACAGAUUUAUUUAGUAAGCUCUCCCUUGCAUCCGAUGCACAGCAUAAUACAAAACCCCAGUCAAAAAGUGCCUUUGCCUGCUAAGAUUAACCACUAAUCUCUCUUAGUAAACGUGAUUAGUGAAACUCAGAGUAGACCAAGCUCCGAAUUUGUAAUACUAAUACACGAUUGAUUGCUUCCACUAAUUGAAUUAAGGCUACAAAAGUGAACAGGCCAAAGCUCCUUGCACCAAGAUAAUGAGCUUGUAGUUUCGUGAUAUGUAAAUGGUUAUUAAGCGGGUUCUAAGUUGUUGAAGACGGCAAAAUGUCGUGAAGGAAAAAUCGGUGUUUCGGCGGGGAAGCAGUAUAUCAUUGUGUGAGUAACAGGAGAGGAGAGGAUUGCUCGAUUAGAAAACAAACUUUAGCAUGAUUUUGGAAGUUGGUUAUCGUAUAUUGUGAUGCUACAACACGAAUUGUACCUAUAAAGUAUGAUUUCUUACGAAUGGCUAGGAUUAACUGGUCUGCUGGCUCCGCACAUAAGGUUCUAGAGAGGAUCCGAGUCCACCCUGGAGGGCACGAACUUGA